UACAGAGGUCUCAAGCGUUGUUCGGAAUUACUGGGCGUAAAGGGCGCGCAGGCCGCGCGGGCAGUCAAAUGUGUAAUCCAGGGGCUCAACCCCUGAACUGCGCUUGAUACUUCCGCGCUCGAGCUUUGGAGAGGAGUCUGGAAUUCUCGGUGUAGCAGUGAAAUGCGUGGAUAUCGAGAAGAACACUUAGGGCGUAGGCAAGACUCUGGACAAAUGCUGACGCUCAUGCACGAAGGCUAGGGUAGCGAACGGG
rnacentral:rRNA from 1 species